rnacentral:rRNA from 1 species
CGGAUGAAGGGAGCUUGCUCCUGGAUUCAGCGGCGGACGGGUGAGUAAUGCCUAAGAAUCUGCCUGGUAGUGGGGGAUAACGUCCGGAAACGGGCGCUAAUACCGCAUACGUCCUGAGGGAGAAAGUGGGGGAUCUUCGGACCUCACGCUAUCAGAUGAGCCUAGGUCGGAUUAGCUAGUUGGUGGGGUAAAGGCCUACCAAGGCGACGAUCCGUAACUGGUCUGAGAGGAUGAUCAGUCACACUGGAACUGAGACACGGUCCAGACUCCUACGGGAGGCAGCAGUGGGGAAUAUUGGACAAUGGGCGAAAGCCUGAUCCAGCCAUGCCGCGUGUGUGAAGAAGGUCUUCGGAUUGUAAAGCACUUUAAGUUGGGAGGAAGGGCAGUAAGUUAAUACCUUGCUGUUUUGACGUUACCAACAGAAUAAGCACCGGCUAACUUCGUGCCAGCAGCCGCGGUAAUACGAAGGGUGCAAGCGUUAAUCGGAAUUACUGGGCGUAAAGCGCGCGUAGGUGGUUCAGCAAGUUGGAUGUGAAAUCCCCGGGCUCAACCUGGGAACUGCAUCCAAAACUACUGAGCUAGAGUACGGUAGAGGGUGGUGGAAUUUCCUGUGUAGCGGUGAAAUGCGUAGAUAUAGGAAGGAACACCAGUGGCGAAGGCGACCACCUGGACUGAUACUGACACUGAGGUGCGAAAGCGUGGGGAGCAAACAGGAUUAGAUAACCUGGUAGUCCACGCCGUAAACGAUGUCGACUAGCCGUUGGGAU